rnacentral:rRNA from 1 species
UACGAAGGGGGCUAGCGUUGCUCGGAAUCACUGGGCGUAAAGGGUGCGUAGGCGGGUCUUUAAGUCAGGGGUGAAAUCCUGGAGCUCAACUCCAGAACUGCCUUUGAUACUGAAGAUCUUGAGUUCGGAGAGGUGAGUGGAACUGCGAGUGUAGAGGUGAAAUUCGUAGAUAUUCGCAAGAACACCAGUGGCGAAGGCGGCUCACUGGCCCGAUACUGACGCUGAGGCACGAAAGCGUGGGGAGCAAACAGGAUUAGAACGGAUCCA